rnacentral:lncRNA from 1 species
AAAAUAUAUGGAUUAAAUAAUAAAAGUAAAAUACAUAGAACUAUAAUACAAAUUACAAAUAAUACAUGUCCGACCAAAUAAAAUUAAUAUCAAUACAAAACCACGCAUAAACUUCGCACAUCAAAAUCCCAAUACCAAUGAAGCCACCAACAACAAGCUUAUGCACAGAUUGGCAAUGAGGUUAACUCUGGACAGUCCUUAAUUCGCAAGUCUCGGAGUGCAGUCAGAUAUCACACCCCCUCAGAUAAAGAGGCUAAUGUCUGACAAUCUCCAAUCUUCAGUGAACACAAGGAAGAUAAGCCUUGCAAUCCAUUUACCGGAAGGGAUACAAGGCUGUGACACUGAUCUAAACGCAAAGUUUCUAAAAAGCUGAGGUUUUGUAGCCCUGCAGGCAAGCUUUCUAUUGAGCAACCAUCAAUAUCCAAGUAUUUAAGGGAGGAUAGAUUUAUCCAGCAGAUCGGAUAAAGACUUUAGACUACAACAAAGAACAUACAACCAAUCAAGUUGCUUUUGAUUUUUUAGUAGUCUAUUCGGUAAUUCAUUGAAGUCGCUAAUCUGGAGAGGGGUAAGAACAGUGGCAUUCAUAAUCAAGGGUGUGAGUAAAGUAACAUUAGUUCCUCUAAUAUAUAGCUGUUUUAGAGAUUGAAUCAUUGGCAGUUUAACCAACUUAGGACAAGAUUCGAUAGUUAAUGAACUCAGGAGAGGAAAAUGUUCUCUACCAUUCACUGUUGUCCAUUCCUCCAAAAAUGGCGCCUCAUAUGUGCUGAGAACCUCGAGUGAUGGAAAAGAACUUUCCAUAUCACCAUAGAAAUUGUUGUCAAUAUACUUCAGAGCACCCAUUCUACAAAUAGUAAGGACCUUAAGGAAGCGCAAUUUCCAUAGAGGUGGUAGUUGAUGGCAUCUUUCACAGGGUAGUAGUGUGAUUUCGACAAGGUUUGGUAGAAGCAGAUCCAUCAUCCAAUAUGGAAACAUCAAACCUUGGUAACCAAUUAUGCGCAACUUCUUCAAGGUUGAACGAGGUUGGAGAGCACAAAGAAUCUCUUCAUCAUUUUGAUGAUGAGGGUUCUCGUUGCGAUUUCCUCGCCAAGAUAAGCUAAGUGAUCUUAAAUUGUGCUUCUUUAUCAAAUUUGCCUUCUUAGCUGCCAUCGCACUCUUCACGUUGGUUAGUCCUUUGAUGCUCAGUUCCCCCUCUAGGGCCAACUCUUUCAACUCAUCAAUGCCGCAACCAUCUUUCUUUCCCAACAUGAAUAUGCUAAGCUUGCGCAAAAAAGACAUUGUCCCAAUGCAACAGGCAUAGAAGUUAGUGUAUGGCAACCUCUGAUGUCCAAGUACCUAAGAUUUUUCAAGUUCUUCGUACCUUUGGGUAACAUUUUAAGACUGCCACAAUCUUUGAGGCUUAGUGUCUGCAAGUUAUGAAGAGAGCUUGUUGAUUCAGGUAAAGUUUUCACAGUAGAAUUGUGAAGGUACAGAUACCUCAAGUGUUUCGAAAUUUUAAAUUCAAUAUUGCUAUAUAAAAACCCAAAUGCAACACCUUGAGAUACUUUUGUUUACUGAUGAAACGGGAAGGAUUAGAGCGGUUAAAGUAAUCAUCGCCGCAUAGGAUUAAAGAUUGCAGCUGCUGCAAUGUGGUUAAGUCCAUAAUGUUUGUCGAUGGACUGAUAUUAUAAUGAUAAACAAACAAGUGAGGAGCAGUUUUUGGAAUUUGUGACACCUCAUUUGGCUCAAUCACACAGCACUCUUGUCUCAUAAUCGAUGUUGCAAGAUCAUGGAUGAGAUCAUGCAUUUUACAUGCAACAGUUCCAUCAACAUCCUCUUCAAUUUCUUGAAAAAUGGACCUCCAAGUUAAUUCAGAGAAUAUUUCACAACCCAUAUCAUGCAAAUCCAAUGCUCCUCGAGAAGGAAUAAAUCCAUUUGCCAUCCAUAGUGCUAAAAGCUUGUCCUUUGUCAUGACAGAAUCUUUGGGAAAUAUCGAGCAAAAUGAAAAACAUUCUCAUAUACGGUGGAAGAUGUUCAUGACUUAGCCUCAACACAGCUCUGAUUCUGCUUCCCUCAUCUUCCAAAUCCCAUAUCUCACUAUCUUUGACACGUAACCAUUCACUUUCUUGACUUCUAAAACGCAAUAUGCUUCCUAUGGCCUUAACUGCCAACGGUACCACUCCACAUCUCUGCACUGAUUGCCUCCCAAUGGUUUCCAGGUUCGCGUUGCUUCCAUUCAUUCCCAUCCCAAAGGCUGUUUGCUUUAACAAAGACCAAGAAUCAUCAUCCGACAAACAUCCCAAGCGAUAGAAAGGAGUUGUAGCCAUCAUAAGAGCAACUUUCUCGAGUCGAGUAGUGACAAUCACCGUACUUCCUACCGUGCGUAAAAGAAUUCGAAAAGUCUAAUAAUAUUAAAAAGGGUGAUAAAAUAAUAAAAUAAAAAUGUCAUUAUAAUUUUUCGUAUAAAUUUAUUAAAAGAUUAUUUACGUUCCAAUAAAUAAUUCGAAAAUUGGGACAUAUAUUUGAGUAUGACUCAAUAUGAUAAUACCUAAGUCUAAAAUAAUCUAAAGAAAAAACUACACAUGGUGUAAUUCAAACUCGAGCAUCAAAGCCUCGGCACCUCAACCUUUAUCAACGAAGCGACCAAUAACAUGCCUAUGCACAUAUACAUAAUAGAGUUUAACAAAGUUACGUGUGAUGAGGAUAAGAAGUUAGAAACUAAAAUUAUUUGCCAUCUAUUUAUUCAUACCUGCUCUUACUGGGGGACAGAAUUGGUCUGCGAAUUUAAUGCAAUGUUGUCUUUUUUCUUCAAAUUGCAAAAUAGAUCCUCGAAUUUAACAAAAGUGGUCACUCAUCAACCCUGAAAAUGUAUUAAGACAAUCAUAUCACAAAUUCAUCAAAUGAAAACUAUUACUAAUAGAUAUGAAUGAAAUGAUCCUGCAGAUGCAGAGAUCCUUAUUCACAAAAAUGUAAAUGUCAAAUCCUUUUUACAUAAUUCUUGAAUAUGAUUAAAAUUAAGAAUAUUCUUAUUUAAAAUUAAAAUUCAAAAGUAGAGAAUCACCUAGUUAGAGAUUUCAAUGGACGGAAUGUGGGCUAUGUUGGGCCAAUCCUCUCCUCUCACUUUCUUACACCGUCUUUUCAGGUGGGGGCAUCCGCUGAUUCUUAGUGUUUCCAGAGCAUUGAGGUUACGUACCCCUUGGGGCAAUGACAUCAAAUUAGAGCAACUCUUUAUCUCCAAUAAUGAAAGCAAGUUGAGGUGUUGUAUCUCAUCUGGGAGAGAAAUUAAACCUCUACAAUUCCAAAUACGCAGAGAUUGAAGAGAAGAGAUGUGUUGGAUACUCCUUGGCAAUGAGGUCAACUCUGGACAUUCAUUAAUAACUAAGUGUUGGAGUGAAGUCAGAUAUCCCACACCCUCAGAUACAGAGGCUAAUGUCUUACAAUGUUGAACCCGCAGUGAACACAAGGAAGAUAAGCCUUGCAAUCCAUUUACCGGAAGGGAUACAAGGCUGUCACAAAAAUUUAAAUCCAAAGUUUCUAAAGAGCUGAGGUUUUGAAGUCCUGCAGGCAAGCUUUCAAUUGAGCAAGCUUGAAUACCCAAAUAUUUAAGGCAGGAUAGAUUAUCCAGCAGAUCAGAUGAAGACUUUAGACUACAAUAAAAAACAUUCAACCUAUCAAGUUGCUUUUGAUUUUUUAGUAGUUCAUCCGGUAACUCAUUGAAGUUGCUAAUCCCGAGAGAGGUAAGAACAGUGGCAUUCAUAAUCAAAGAUGUGAGUGAAGUAACAUUAGUUUCAACAAUAUGUAGCUCUUUUAGAGAUUGAAUCAUUGGUAGUUUAACCAAUUUAGGACAACAAUCGACAGUUAAUGAACUCAGGAGAGGAAAAUGUUCUCUACCAUCACUGUUGUCCAUUCCAUCAAACAUGGCGCCAUAUGUAUGCUGAGAACCUCGAGUGAUGGAAAAGAACUUUCCAUAUCACCAUAGAAGGUGUCGUCAAUAUACUUAAGAGCACUAAUUUUACAAAUAUUAAGGACCUUAAGGAAGCGCAAUUUCCCUAGAGGUGGUAGCUGAUGGCAUCUUUCACAGUUUUCUAGUGCGAUUUCAACGAGGUUUGGUAGAAGCACAUCCAUCAUCCAAUACGGAAACAUCAAACCUUGGUAACCAAUUAUGCAUAACUUCUUCAAGUUUGAAUGAGGUUGGAGAGCACUAAGAAUCUCUUCAUCAUUUUGAUAAUGAGAGCUCGCGUUGCUGCUUACUCGCCAAGAUAAGCUAAGUGAUCUUAAAUUGUGCUUCUUUAUCAAAUUUGCAUUUUUAGCUUCCAUCAAACUCUUCACGUUGUGAAGUCCUUUGAUGCUCAAUUCCCCCUCUAGGGCCAACCCCUUCAACUCAUCAAUGCCGCAACCAUCUUCCUUUCCCACAAUGAACAUGCUAAGCUUGCGCAAAAAAGACAGUUGUCCCAAUGCAACAGGUAUAGAAGUUAGUUCAUGGCAAUUCCUGAUGUCCAAGUACCUAAGAUUUUUCAAGUUCUUCGUACCUUUGGGUAACAUUUGAAGAUUGCAACAAUGUCUGAGGUUUAGUGUCUGCAAGUUAUGAAGAGAGCUUGUUGAUUCAGGUAAAGUUUUCACAUGAGCACCGUGAAGGCAAAGAUACCUCAAGUGUUUGGAACUUUUAAAUGCAAUAUUGGUACUAUUAAAAUCCAUAUCCAACACCUUGAGAUACUUUUGUUUGCAGAAGAAACCGGAACGAUUAGAGAGGUUAAAGCGACAGCCACGUUGGAUCAAAGAUUGCAGCGGUUGCAAUUUGGUUAAGUCCAUAACGUUUGUCGAUGGACUGCUAUUAUAAACAAACAAGUGACGAGCAGUUUUUGGAAUCUGUGACCCCUCAUUUCCCUCAAUCACACAGCACUCUUGUCCCAUAAUCGAUGUUGCGAGAUCAUGGAUGAGAUCAUGCAUUUUACAUGUAACAGUUCCAUCAAAAUCCUCUUUGAUUUCUUGGAAAAAAGACCUCCAAGUUAAUUCAGAGAAUAUUUCACAACCCAUAUCAUGCAAAUCCAGUGCUCCUCGAGAAGGAAUAAAUCCAUUUGCCAUCCAUAGUCCCAUAAGCUCGUCCUUUGUCAUGACAGAAUCUUUGGGAAAUAUCGAGCAAAAUGAAAAACAUUGUCUCAUAUACGGUGGAAGAUGUUCAUAACUUAGCCUCAACGCAGCUAAGAUUCUGCUUCCCUCAUCUUCCAAAUCCCAUAUCUCACUAUCUUUGACACGUAACCAUUCACUUUCUUGACUUCUAAAACGCAAUAUGCUCCCUAUGGCCGUAAUUGCCAAUGGUACCCCUCCACAUCUCUGCACUAUUCGCCUCCCAAUGGUUUCCAGGUUCGCGUUGCUUCCAUUCAUUCCCAUCCCAAAGGCUCUUUGCUUGAACAAAGACCAAGAAUCAUCAUCCGACAAACAUCCCAAGCGAUAGAAAGGAGUUGUAGCCAUCAUAAGAGCAACUUUCUCGAGUCGAGUAGUGACAAUCACCG